ACGUAGGGGGCAAGCGUUAUCCGGAUUUACUGGGUGUAAAGGGAGCGUAGACGGCUGUGCAAGUCUGAAGUGAAAUGCCGGGGCUCAACCCCGGAACUGCUUUGGAAACUGUACAGCUAGAGUGCAGGAGGGGUGAGCGGAAUUCCUAGUGUAGCGGUGAAAUGCGUAGAUAUUAGGAGGAACACCGGUGGCGAAGGCGGCUCACUGGACUGUAACUGACGUUGAGGCUCGAAAGCGUGGGGAGCAAA
rnacentral:rRNA from 1 species